UCCGGUUUAUCACCGGCAGUCUCCACAGAGUCCUCGCCAUGCAGCACCUGUGCAAGCUCCCCUUGCGGGGUCGUCCCACUUUCAUGGUCCUACCACUUGCAUGUCAAGGCCAGGUAAGGUUCUUCGCGUUGCAUCGAAUUAAGCCACAUACUCCACCGCUUGUGCAGGCCCCCGUCAAUUUCUUUGAGUUUUAAUCUUGCGGCCGUACUCCCCAGGCGGGGCACUUAAUGCGUUAGCUACGGCGCGGAAAACGUGGAAUGUCCCCCACACCUAGUGCCCAACGUUUACGGCAUGGACUAC
rnacentral:misc_RNA from 1 species